rnacentral:misc_RNA from 1 species
AAGUCGUAACAAGGUAACCGUAGGUGAACCUGCGGUUGGAUCAUUAAUAAAACCUUUGGGAACUCUGUUCCUGAACACUGUGUGCACUAUUGUCUGUCUCUGGCGGAACCAGGCGGGUUUGCUUUGGUUUUUGAGACUCUGGGUGUGUCCGGAAACGGGCUUGCUCGGAGCUGAUGGGGACCAGGGUGGGCUCUCCCUCCGCCGAAUGUUUUUGAACCAACCCAUGUCUGUAUGUUUUUGUCUGAUCUUGGUUUCUUGGUCUGUCGCCCUCUGGGUGUGCAGCUGAAAUCUUUAAAACAACUUUUGACAACGGAUCUCUUGGCUCUC